rnacentral:sRNA from 1 species
GAAUAUGAGGUUGAUGUGGCUGUGACAUCUGUCAAACAUUGUUCAUCCCCAAUGUUAAUUUGGCUGACCUGGCAGCCUAGCUUGGUGCUCCCUUCCUUUAUCACCUCUCCCAGUGAUUUACUCCCAAUGUUUUACACUCGGUUGAAGCUAGUGGGGGAAUGUUCUUCAUUCAGGCUUUGAAACUUCAGACAAGCUUUCAAAAUGGAGCAAGACUUAAAAUGCCACAAGACAAAAUUAUGUGCUGAUU